rnacentral:rRNA from 1 species
GACGAACGCUGGCGGCGUGCUUAACACAUGCAAGUCGAACGGAGUGGCGAACGGGAGAGUAACAUGACGGUGACCUGCCUUGCGCUUCGGGAUAAGCAUGGGAAACUGGGUCCAAUAACGGAUAGUGCAGGAUGAGCUCGCGGCCUAUCAGCUUGUUGGUGGGGUAAUGGCCUACCAAGGCGGCGACGGGUAGCCGGCCUGAGAGGGCGUACGGCCACAUUGGGACUGAGAUACGGCCCAGACUCCUACGGGAGGCAGCAGUGGGGAAUAUUGCACAAUGGGCGAAAGCCUGAUGCAGCGACGCCGCGUGGGGGAUGAAGGCCUUCGGGUUGUAAACUCCUUUCGACAGUGACGCGGUACCUGUAUAAGAAGCACCGGCUAACUACGUGCCAGCAGCCGCGGUAAUUC